rnacentral:misc_RNA from 1 species
GAUGAAGAACGUAGAGAAAUGCGAUACUUGGUGUGAAUUGCAGAAUCCCGUGAACCAUCGAGUCUUUGAACGCAAGUUGCGCCCGAAGCCAUUAGGCCGAGGGCACGCCUGCCUGGGCGUCACACGUCGUUGCCCCCCCAUCUACUCCUUCGGGAUUGCGGGGGGCGGAUGAUGGCCUCCCGUGCGCCUCGUCGCGCGGUUGGCAUAAAUGCCAAGUCCUCGGCGACGCACGCCACGACAAUCGGUGGUUGCGAAACCUCGGUUGCCCGUCGUGUGCGGUCGUCGCGCAUCGAGGGCUCGAAAAAAUUGCCGGGCUCCGGCUCGGCUUUCAACGCGACCCCAGGUCAGGCGGGGUUACCCGCUGAAUUUAAGCAUAUCAAUAAGCGGAGGA